AGUGAACGCUGGCGGUAGGCCUAACACAUGCAAGUCGAACGGCAGCACAGUAAGAGCUUGCUCUUACGGGUGGCGAGUGGCGGACGGGUGAGGAAUACAUCGGAAUCUACUUUUUCGUGGGGGAUAACGUAGGGAAACUUACGCUAAUACCGCAUACGACCUACGGGUGAAAGCAGGGGAUCUUCGGACCUUGCGCGAUUGAAUGAGCCGAUGUCGGAUUAGCUAGUUGGCGGGGUAAAGGCCCACCAAGGCGACGAUCCGUAGCUGGUCUGAGAGGAUGAUCAGCCACACUGGGACUGAGACACGGUCCAGACUCCUACGGGAGGCAGCAGUGGGGAAUAUUGGACAAUGGGCGCAAGCCUGAUCCAGCCAUACCGCGUGGGUGAAGAAGGCCUUCGGGUUGUAAAGCCCUCUUGUUGGGAAAGAAAAGCAGCAGGUUAAUACCCCGCUGUUCUGACGGUACCCAAAGAAUAAGCACCGGCUAACUUCGUG
rnacentral:rRNA from 1 species